GGGACAUACAGGCCUGUGGUGAAUGUCACCUAUCAUGAGCAGAAUUAGGAGGAUGUCAAUAAAAAAAAGUUUGUGUCAGCAAAGCAAUUUGAGUUCUGAUUCAUAUGCAGGGAAAUAGCUUGACUGAGUUUUGAGAACUUAAAAUACAUACCUUCAGCUUCUCUUACAUAGAAACUAUACUUUCCUUAUUAGAAAAGUCUACUGAUGCUCAUUUCAAUAUUUUGGUUAUGGGAUUGAUCAGAAAGAAAUGGUGAUUAAAAUCUAUCUAUCUAUCUAUCUAUCUAUCUAUCUAUCUAUCUAUCUAUCUACCUACCUACCUACCUUCCUAGCAUGGAGAUAUAAACCUCUUGAGACUAUUUUAUAAAAUCACUAAAAUGGAGCUGGAGUAACAGAAUAAAGUAUUUCAUCUGCUGUUUGCCAGGGUUGUAAGAGGGUUUGCAGCCAGAGAAAUAGCAGCUCUGAAAAUGUUGGCAAUGCGUGCUUACCUUUUACCCAAGGAAACCAUCAAAGCCAAACCCACUGAACCUUAAAGGUAUUUCAGAAUCACUAUUGGGAUGUCAGAUAUAAAUGCUCCCGAUGUUACAUUCGAUUGAUUCCAAGGUCGUAAAGGAAUGCACUGAAAGAGGAAUCAGAAUACAUUUAAGAAUUUCGUUGAAGUAAAGCUUAAGCGCAGUUUAAUGUCCUCUGCACUGUUCCGUGGGUAAAGGAGCUGUUAG